UAGCAGAGGUCCCAAGCGUUGUUCGGAUUCACUGGGCGUAAAGGGUGCGUAGGUGGUCGGGUAAGUCUGAUGUGAAAUCUCCGAGCUUAACUCGGAAAUGGCAUUGGAUACUAUUCGGCUAGAGGGUUUGAGGGGGACUGGAAUACUUGGUGUAGCAGUGAAAUGCGUAGAUAUCAAGUGGAACACCAGUGGCGAAGGCGGACUCGCUGGACAAGUAUUGACGCUGAGGUGCGAAAGCGUGGGGAGCAAACAGGAUUAGAUAC
rnacentral:rRNA from 1 species